GAUGAACUUAGUAAUUAAUAUAACAAAUGAUCACAUGUAUCUGAUGUUAUUAAUAUGAGAUAUACAAAAGGAUGAUUAUUUCAAUUGACAAUUAUUUUUCCUGAUAAUUUCUGUUCAAUUGCAGCAAAAAAAAAAACUUAUACAAUGAAUAGUUUUAUACUUCACUGUAUUAUUCAUUCCAAUCCUGCAUUUUUUAGUUCUAUAUACUUAAAAAAUAUAUUUUAUGGUUAAAUAAUAGAUAUUUAAAUAAGCUGUAGUUAUUUCAGGUUUUUUACAAAUUUGUAGUAUACAUUUUAUUUUUAUUUUAUAAUUUUAUAUGGAAUUUACCCUUCGCAUUUAAGUAAAUUGAUUUAAUUAAAUAGGUUCAAUACUAUUAACUAUGUAUAGGAAAAAAUAGUAAUUCAAAUCUAAGAAGGUUGGGUCGAUAUUGGCAUAUAUCAUUACGUUUUUUGUUACUGUAGACAUAGAUGUUGAUAGAUAAGGUAUUUCAUACUUAUAGAAAACCCAAAUGUUUAAGAAUUAUAUUUUCCUGCAUGUCCAAUAAUCAAAUAAAAUUUGUUGUUUUUAUUAACCUUUUUUCACUUAAAAUAAGAUUUAAUCAUUCGUUGAUAUUUAUAUACAUUAGUACUAUCUUUAAUUUAUUAUAACUUAUAUUGAAUCCUAAAAUUCAAAAAUUUGGUUAUUGUUCUAAAGCAAUAUUGUGUUCUAUAACAAAAUAAUAAUAAUGAAAAUAUUAAAAUACUCUUAAAUGGUUUGUAAAAGUAUGUGGUACUUGAUCUAUUAUUAUUCACAGCUUAAUAGAAAUAAGCCUAUGGAAUUUUAAGAAUAUUGUGGGUGCAAAAUAAUGCCUACUCUAGUAGUAACUUGAACAAAAGAAUUGUGAUUUAACCAAAGAAAUGUCUUCGUGUUGUUAAAAGUUAUCUGUUAUUUUUUUCUACUUCUGUGAAGUUGACAAUAGUGUAUUAAAUACAAAGUGAAUUUUCAUUAAAAUUACAUGAUUGUUAUCAAUUAUUUCCAAUUUUGCC